rnacentral:rRNA from 1 species
GACGUAGGGCGCGAGCGUUGUCCGGAUUUAUUGGGCGUAAAGAGCUCGUAGGCGGCUUGUUGCGUCUGCUGUGAAAACUCGGGGCUUAACCCCGAGCCUGCAGUGGAUACGGGCAGACUAGAGGUAGGUAGGGGAGAAUGGAAUUCCCGGUGUAGCGGUGAAAUGCGUAGAUAUCUGGAGGAACACCGGUGGCGAAGGCGGCAUCCUGGACCGGUAUUGACGCUGAGGCGCGAAAGCUAGGGGAGCAAACGGG